rnacentral:sRNA from 1 species
UUUUUUUUCGGAAUAUCAGGAGGUUCUGGGCCGAAACCCGUAAUCCCUUCAGGCCUGAAACCACAACAUGUAAUAUUAGUUUCGUCCCAAACAUCACUCGAACUAACGACCUCUAAGUUUCGCCUAGGAUCUUUACCAAUUGAGGUAACAACGCUUGGUCAAGUUUAAAUCAUUGUUGCUUUCUGUGAGAUUUUGAUCCCUAUAACCUAAUUUAUCUUAUGAGAAAUUAACCUUUUUUGAUAAAGGAUAAGGAAAAUAGUAACCUUGUAUAAAAAAAUUCAUUGCCAUUUUCAUAUAUAUAU